rnacentral:rRNA from 1 species
GACGAACGCUGGCGGCGUGCUUAACACAUGCAAGUCGAACGGAAAGGCCCUGCUUUUGUGGGGUGCUCGAGUGGCGAACGGGUGAGUAACACGUGAGUAACCUGCCCUUGACUUUGGGAUAACUUCAGGAAACUGGGGCUAAUACCGGAUAGGAGCUCCUGCUGCAUGGUGGGGGUUGGAAAGUUUCGGCGGUUGGGGAUGGACUCGCGGCUUAUCAGCUUGUUGGUGGGGUAGUGGCUUACCAAGGCUUUGACGGGUAGCCGGCCUGAGAGGGUGACCGGCCACAUUGGGACUGAUAUACGGCCCAGACGCCUACGGGAUGCAGCAGUGGGGAAUAGUGCACAAUGGGCGGAAGCCUGAUGCAGCAACGCCGCGUGCGUUAUGACGGCCUUCGGGUUGUAAACCGCUUUCGCCUGUUACGAAGCGUGAGUGACGGUAGUGGGUAAAGAAGCACCGGCUAACUACGUG